CCUACGGGAGGCAGCAGUGGGGAAUAUUGGACAAUGGGCGAAAGCCUGAUCCAGCCAUGCCGCGUGUGUGAAGAAGGCCUUUUGGUUGUAAAGCACUUUAAGCGAGGAGGAGGCUACUUAGAUUAAUACUCUAGGAUAGUGGACGUUACUCGCAGAAUAAGCACCGGCUAACUCUGUGCCAGCAGCCGCGGUAAU
rnacentral:rRNA from 2 species